rnacentral:tRNA from 1 species
AGAGAGAUGGCUCAGAGGUUAAGAGCACUGGCUGCUCUUCCAGAGGUCCUGAGUUCAAUUCUCAGCAACCCUA